rnacentral:ribozyme from 1 species
CUCGCGUCUCAGCAGUGGCAAACGCUGACUCAAAAAAUUCGAGCUGCCAACGCGCGGCGAGGGUUGUUGCAGCUGGACGAA